UUCGGGCUUCGACCGGCGUACGGGUGCGUAACGCGUAUACAAUCUGCCUUUCACAUAGGGAUAGCCCGAAGAAAUUUGGAUUAAUACCUAAUGGUAUAUAGAUGUGGCAUCACCUUUAUAUUAAACGCUGAGGCGGUGAAAGAUGAGUAUGCGUUCUAUUAGCCAGUUGGAGAGGUAACGGCUCCCCAAGGCUACGAUAGAUAGGGGUUCUGAGAGGGAUAUCCCCCACACUGGUACUGAGAUACGGACCAGACUCCUACGGGAGGCAGCAGUGAGGAAUAUUGGACAAUGGUCGGAAGACUGAUCCAGCCAUGCCGCGUGCAGGAAGACGGCCUUAUGGGUUGUAAACUGCUUUUGCAGGGGAAGAAUAAGGACUACGAGUAGUUUGAUGACGGUACUCUGCGAAUAAGCAUCGGCUAACUCCGUGCCAGCAGCCGCGGUAAUACGGAGGAUGCGAGCGUUAUCCGGAAUCAUUGGGUUUAAAGGGUCCGUAGGCGGGCUAAUAAGUCAGAGGUGAAAGCGCUCAGCUCAACUGAGCAACUGCCUUUGAAACUGUUAGUCUUGAAUGGUUGUGAAGUAGUUGGAAUGUGUAGUGUAGCGGUGAAAUGCUUAGAUAUUACACAGAACACCGAUAGCGAAGGCAUAUUACUAACAAUUAAUUGACGCUGAUGGACGAAAGCGUGGGGAGCGAACAGGAUUAGAUACCCUGGUAGUCCACGCUGUAAACGAUGGAUACUAGCUGUUUGGUUGUAAGACUGAGUGG
rnacentral:rRNA from 1 species